rnacentral:tmRNA from 4 species
GGGGAUGUUUUUGGGAUUCGACAGGCGUAGAUUCGCAUUGACUGCGAUUCGUAGGUUACGUCUACGUAAAAACGUUACAGUUAAAUAUAACUGCAAAUAACAAAAAUUCUUACGCAUUAGCUGCUUAAUUUAGCGCAUGCGUUGCUCUUUGUCGGUUUACUCGUGGCUGACACUGAGUAUCAACUUUAGCGAGUUACGUUUAACUAUCUCACCUGAAUAGUUGAAAAGAGUCUUAACAGGUUAGCUAGCUCAUCCUAGCCCUGUUAUAUGGCGUUUUGAGCUAGUGAAGUUCAAGUAAUAUAACUAUGAUCGUAGAGGUCAGUGACGGAAUGCGUCUGGACAGGGGUUCAACUCCCCUCAUCUCCACCA